rnacentral:misc_RNA from 1 species
AGCUAAAACCUCCAUUUCCCAAGUGAUAGUAGCAUCAAAUAAGUUAACUAAUAUACACAGAGAACUGCAUGUAUGUAUAUGCAUAUAUGAAAUAAAUACUGCCAUCACUUUCCCAAUAUGAUUUGCUAAGCAAUUGAUUACACAUAGCAGCACAAGCAGUUCCACUAAAUUUACUCUCUUUGCCUGUACAUUUUCACAGACCAAGAAGUUUCGCUAGCCAAAACAACCAUAUUUUAUAUAAGCUAAUAUCAGAUGAACAGAAAAGUAAUCAAAUUACAUUUAAAGGAUCCUAAAGCAAUUGCAUUACAGAGCCAAAAUUAAUAAGGAACUGAUACAGAUAUAUGAAACAAGUACACAUGACAAGCUUUAAUCCAUUCCAAAGAAUCCAGCAUUGCUAAGUGCCUUUAGAAUGAAGAAUAUCAAAAAAAUUCCCACAAAAUACUGUAAAGUUAUGCAAUAAACAAAAAUUGUACAAGAUCAGUGCAAGGACAUUAAAAAAUAACAAAAUGGUAGGAUAGUCAUUCUUACUGCCACUUCAACAAAGUCUUUU